AUUGAACGCUGGCGGCAUGCCUUACACAUGCAAGUCGAACGGCAGCACGGGAGCAAUCCUGGUGGCGAGUGGCGAACGGGUGAGUAAUAUAUCGGAACGUGCCCAGUCGUGGGGAUAACGUAGAGAAUUUACGCUAAUACCGCAUACGAUCUAAGGAUGAAAGCGGGGGACCGUAAGGCCUCGCGCGAUUGGAGCGGCUGAUAUCAGAUUAGGUAGUUGGUGAGGUAAAGGGCUCACCAAGCCGACGAUCUGUAGCUGGUCUGAGAGGACGACCAGCCACACUGGGACUGAGACACGGCCCAGACUCCUACGGAGGCAGCAGUGGGAAUUUGGACAAUGGCGCAAGCCUGAUCCAGCAA
rnacentral:rRNA from 1 species